UACAGAGGUGGCAAGCGUUGUUCGGAAUUACUGGGCGUAAAGGGCGUGUAGGCGGCUUUUUAAGUCAGACGUGAAAUCCCCCGGCUUAACCUGGGAACUGCGUCUGAUACUGGGAAGCUAGAGUUCGGGAGAGGGAUGUAGAAUUCCAGGUGUAGCGGUGAAAUGCGUAGAUAUCUGGAGGAAUACCGGUGGCGAAGGCGGCAUCCUGGACCGAAACUGACGCUUAAGCGCGAAAGCUAGGGGAGCAAACAGG
rnacentral:rRNA from 1 species